rnacentral:rRNA from 1 species
GUCUCCUUAAGGUUUUAAAUGGGUGCUAAGAGAAUGGAUUUUCAAAAAAAUUCUUUUUUAAGUUUAAAAAUUAAAGUUAUUUUUAUUUGUGAAGAAACAAUAAUAAAAAUUAAAGACAAGAAGACCCUAUGAAUUUUUAUAAACUUUAAUAUUUAAUUAAAUAUUAAAGUUUAUUUAAUUGGGGCGAUUGAGAAAGAUAAAAAACUUUUUUUAUUUAAAGAGAUCCAUUAUUAAUGAUUUUAUGUAAAAAAUACUCUAGGGAUAACAGCGUAAUAAUUUUAGAUAGAUCUUAUAGAAAAAAUAGUUUGCGACCUCGAUGUUGGAUUAGGAUACUUGUUUAAUGAAGAAGUAAAUAAAGAA